AUUACAAGUGACCCCGGUCUAACCACCGGGAUGUUCAUAACCCUUUGUUGUCCGACUCUGUUGCCUCCGGGGCGACCCUGCCUUCGGGCGGGGGCUCCGGGUGGACACUUCAAACUCUUGCGUAACUUUGCAGUCUGAGUAAACUUAAUUAAUAAAUUAAAACUUUUAACAACGGAUCUCUUGGUUCUGGCAUCGAUGAAGAACGCAGCGAAAUGCGAUAAGUAAUGUGAAUUGCAGAAUUCAGUGAAUCAUCGAAUCUUUGAACGCACAUUGCGCCCCCUGGUAUUCCGGGGGGCAUGCCUGUUCGAGCGUCAUUUCACCACUCAAGCCUCGCUUGGUAUUGGGCAACGCGGUCCGCCGCGUGCCUCAAAUCGACCGGCUGGGUCUUCUGUCCCCUAAGCGUUGUGGAAACUAUUCGCUAAAGGGUGUUCGGGAGGCUACGCCGUAAAACAACCCCAUUUCUAAGGUUGACCUCGGAUCAGGUAGGGAUACCCGCUGAACUUAAGCAUAUCAAUAAGCGGAGGAAAAGAAACCAACAGGGAUUGCUCUAGUAACGGCGAGUGAAGCAGCAAUAGCUCAAAUUUGAAAUCUGGCGUCUUCGACGUCCGAGUUGUAAUUUGUAGAGGAUGCUUCUGAGUAACCACCGACCUAAGUUCCUUGGAACAGGACGUCAUAGAGGGUGAGAAUCCCGUAUGCGGUCGGAAAGGUGCUCUAUACGUAGCUCCUUCGACGA
rnacentral:rRNA from 1 species